UUCUGACCAUUUGCAUAUGUACAUAUCUCAAAGUUUAUUUACUAAACAGACGCGAUAAAGAAGAGAGUAAGUGUUUUUGCAACAUCGUAAAAAACGCUGCUUGCUUCGUUUCGAAUUUUUUAUCACACUCUCUGAAAAGUAAAUUAAAAAAUUUACUUUUUCGAGGUGCAUGUGUAAUCUUAAAGGUGAUUUACUUUUCCGCGAUUAUUUACUUUCUGAGAAUUUACUUUUCGAGAGUAUACUGUACU